UGGGGAAUAUUGCACAAUGGGCGCAAGCCUGAUGCAGCCAUGCCGCGUGUAUGAAGAAGGCCUUCGGGUUGUAAAGUACUUUCAGCGGGGAGGAAGGUGUUGAGGUUAAUAACCUCAGCAAUUGACGUUACCCGCAGAAGAAGCACCGACUAACUCCGUGCCAGCAGCCGCGGUAAUACGGAGGGGGCAAGCGUUAAUCGGAAUUACUGGGCGUAAAGCGCACGCAGGCGGUCUGUCAAGUCGGAUGUGAAAUCCCCGGGCUCAACCUGGGAACUGCAUUCGAAACUGGCAGGCUAGAGUCUUGUAGAGGGGGGUAGAAUUCCAGGUGUAGCGGUGAAAUGCGUAGAGAUCUGGAGGAAUACCGGUGGCGAAGGCGGCCCCCUGGACAAAGACUGACGCUCAGGUGCGAAAGCGUGGGGAGCAAACA
rnacentral:rRNA from 1 species